rnacentral:rRNA from 1 species
UUAACCCUGAGCGUGCUUUCGAUACGGGUUGACUUGAGGAAGGUAGGGGAGAAUGGAAUUCCUGGUGGAGCGGUGGAAUGCGCAGAUAUCAGGAGGAACACCAGUGGCGAAGGCGGUUCUCUGGGCCUUUCCUGACGCUGAGGAGCGAAAGCGUGGGGAGCGAACAGGCUUAGAUACCCUGGUAGUCCACGCUGUAAACGGUGGGUACUAGGUGUGGGGUCCCAUUCCACGGGUUCCCGUGCCGUAGCUAACGCUUUAAGUACCCCGCCUGGGGAGUACGGCCGCAAGGCUAAAACCUCAAAGGAAUUGACGGGGCCCCGCACAAGCGGCGGAGCAUGCGGAUUAAUUCGAUGCAACGCGUAGAACCUUACCUGGGUUUGACAUGGAUCGGGAGUGCUCAAAGAUGGGUGUGCCUCUUUUGGGGUCGGUCACCAGGUGGUGCAUGGCUGUCGUCAGCUCGUGUCGUGAGAUGUUGGGUAAAGUCCCGCAAGGACCGCAACCCUUGUUCACUGUGCCCAGCACGUUAUGGUGGGAACUCAGUGGAGACCGCCGGGGUCAACUCGGAAGAAGGUGGGGAUGACGUUAGGUUAUCAUGCCCCUUAUGUUCGGGGCUUCACGCCUGGUACAUUGGCUGGUACAGAAAGUUGGGAACCUGUGAGGGUGAGGGAAUCUCGGAAAGCCGGUUUUAGUUCGGAUUGGGGUUUGCAACUCGACCUUUUGAAGUCGGAGU